CGUAUAUAUUGCUUUGAAAAAUAUAUAUAAAUGCAUGUAUCAAAAUAUAUUCAUAAUAUUAAUGGAACUUGAAUGUUGCCCUGUCUGCGGCGGGUUAGAAAGUGAUAAUAUCAGGGGAAAAAAUCCCGCUAUAAAAUUAGUCACGUGUCUUAUACCUAGUGACGUAAACGUAUAAAACUACUACGCUAGUACCGUAUAUACAAUAAUUUCUCCCUAUACUACGAAACAUGAAAAAUUAUACAUCUAUUUAUAUCUUUAUUUAUGUUUAAAUAUAUAAUUUCAUUCGGUUGAACGUUGUGAAUUAGAGUGUUUUUUUUUCUUUCGGUGAGCAUGAUUUCGACAGCUAGUGCCCCUUUAAGAAAGCAGGAAAAGGGAGAUAGUACAAAAUUGUCUACUUUUUCGCUGCUAACGUUUUGAAUCCUUUAUUACUAAAAGCAUAUAUGCUAUAGCAUUAAAAUAUAUUAACAACAUGACAAAAGAUAAACAGCAGAGACCAAUACAUUAAUAAGCAUUAAAGGAAAACACACAAUAUGUGAUCUGAU
rnacentral:lncRNA from 1 species